rfam:Hordeum vulgare subsp. vulgare, WGS project CAJW01000000 data, contig: morex_contig_51343
UUUGUACUCCAUCCGUUCUAAAAAUUUUGUCUUACAUUUGUAUAGAAAUGGAUGUAUCUAAAGAUUAACACAUGACUGGAUACAUUCAUAUCUAAACAAAUCUAAGACAAAAAUUUCAAAACGGAAAGAGUACAAG